rnacentral:rRNA from 1 species
UAGGGAAUCUUCGGCAAUGGACGAAAGUCUGACCGAGCAACGCCGCGUGAGUGAAGAAGGUUUUCGGAUCGUAAAACUCUGUUGUUAGAGAAGAACAAGGAUGAGAGUAACUGUUCAUCCCUUGACGGUAUCUAACCAGAAAGCCACGGCUAACUACGUGCCAGCAGCCGCGGUAAU